UAUUGCAACUUAUCCUUACAUCUUGAUAUGAAACAUUAGAAAUCAUCUUAUUAGAAUUUUUUCUAGAGUUAUAAUAAAAAUACCGGAAACUGAGAAACUGAAAAUGCAGGCUUACGUGUUUCCGGUGAGCCGCCUUGGACUGGUGAAUAGUAUGCCGAAUUUGAUCCACCCGUAUCCGAAAACUGAUCAUAUCGCAGCGCUCCUCCAUACAAAAGCGGCGUGGAUUCCGAUGCGGCCCGCUUCAGUUCUGACAAAUUCAAUCCAUUAUUACACAAUGCUUUCAACACUCUCCAGCCGGAUCCCUUACGUUCCAGCCGCUCCUUUGUUUCACGCGGUAAUACUUUAAAAUCCAAAAACCAUGUUUCCGUCCAAGACAGGAUAAAAGACGAAACUAACAAGAUGUAAUCCAAAAUUGGCGAAUCUUUAUUACCGCCUUGAGCAAACUGUAACGAAGAUUCAACUUAUAAACGGUUGUUUCAAAUCUGAAAUGGAAGGCAGAAAUCGCGCACCGUAUACAGAAAGACUUUCGCAAUGAGAAAUGCACUGGAUCCGGCUGUGGUCACCUAAAAGCGAAAGAAGGCGAAAAUUUCACAAUACUACUCCUCACUCACUUUCAAUUCUAAGAUAAUCACACAAACACUCACCGCAACCACCCAUGGAUUGUGCAAACGGCAAAGUCCAUAUGCAAGUAUCAAGCAUACAAAUCUUCCGGCAGCAAGCAUCUGAAAAAAUCUACCUGAAGGAAGCCACGGAAGCAAAAAUAUGGAUUUCUGAAUUCGAGACCAAAUUAAGAAAUUAAAAGCGAAAUCCGUUAGGACAGACUAACAAAUGCCUGUUCACUUACGACGAGAUCGAAGAGCGACAAGUGUAUAUUAUACUGCACAACUUCGUGCGUGAAUGCUUCCAUCGGACUCAUUCCCGUUAUCUGCAAAGAUCCACAACAGGAAUGAUAAGCCGAGAUCAAACAGCGUUAGCAGGCAAAACGUCCGCCGCACGGGCGACAUGGGCUCUACUCAAAAGCAAUUUGAAUUUUCAAUUGACUGCAGCUAUCUCCAUGUGAAUUCCAAUGAUUUUACCACCAUUUAUAUGUACUUACCUGCGCACAGAUCGCUCAUUCUUCAGUUUCUGACUGGUCUCCGUUAAACGGACUUAUUUCCUCCACAGCAUAAAAUAAGAAACCAAAAUAGACAGGCACAACCAACUCGCCAGCGAAUGCCAGGACGUGCUGGAAUUUUUGCGCUCCUUACAAAGGAUUCAUCCUAAAGCGAUGGAUGUUUCAGAAUUCACGAUCGAAAGCAACAGGCAACACCCCAUCGAGUCCAAACUGUAAAUGGAAACACUACUGAUCGUUUUCGACCGUAUUAUAGCAAGGGACAGAAAGUCAGUAGAGAAAUUUAUCAUUUGCACAAGGUAGUUUGUGCCACAGUCACUCAUGGACUACGGUAGAGCACACAGUUUUUUUAUCACCGAUACCAAAUAUCUCACUGGUUAAAAGAAUUCCACGGGAUCAUAAAAAUCAAAGUCAGUAGCAAACAAUAUAGUGAGUUAAAAUAAAUAUAAAAUCCAAACAACUACUACGAUACGGUACGAGUGCAAACAAAAAACGAAAAUAUUGUACGUGGAUGGUGGAUCUGCAUUUUUAUGCGAUUUAAA